rnacentral:rRNA from 1 species
UACGUAGGCAGCAAGCGUUGUUCGGAGUUACUGGGCGUAAAGAGUAUGUAGGCGGUUGGGUAAGUUUGGUGUGAAAUCUCCCGGCUUAACUGGGAGGGUGCGCUAAAGACUGCCUGGCUCGAGUGUGGGAGAGGAAAGCGGAAUUCCUGGUGUAGCGGUGAAAUGCGUAGAUAUCAGGAGGAACACCUGCGGUGUAGACGGCUUUCUGGACCAUAACUGACGCUGAGAUACGAAAGCGUGGGGAGCGAACAGG